UAGGGAAUUUUCGUCAAUGGGGGCAACCCUGAACGAGCAAUGCCGCGUGAGCGAAGAAGGUCUUCGGAUUGUAAAGCUCUGUUGCCAGGGAAAAAGGAAGGAAAGAGGAAAUGCUUUUCUUUGGAUGGUACCCGGCCAGAAAGUCACGGCUAACUACGUGCC
rnacentral:rRNA from 1 species